rnacentral:siRNA from 1 species
CUAUUUGUGGUGCGGAUUAUA